rnacentral:snRNA from 1 species
GGAUGUGAGGGCGAUCUGGCUGUGUCAUCUGUCACCCCAUUUAUUGCCAGGGUUGAUUCAGCUGAUCUGGCGGGCUAGGUGGAUGUCCUCUUCCUCCCUCAGCACUCCUCCCAAAGCUGUGUGCUAGGUUGAAGAGGAGAUGUUCCCUGCUAGAGGAGGACUGGUCUUCCAUCAAGGAUAUAGGAGUAGCUGCACUCCCCUGCUAGAACCUCCAAACAAGCUCUCAAGGUCCAUUGCUUAUUUUGAUGUUGAAAUUGUCCCUGAUUUUAUCAGCGGGAACCUCUUGUUUCCAUGC